AAAAAGGCUUUUUUCAGAGCCAUUUAAAUGACAGGGAAAAAGACGU
rfam:Takifugu rubripes chromosome, Chr_4